rnacentral:rRNA from 1 species
UACGGAGGGUGCAAGCGUUGUUCGGAUUUACUGGGCGUAAAGGGCGCGCAGGCGGCCAUUCAAGUCAGGCGUGAAAGCCCCGGGCUUAACCUGGGAGGUGCGUCUGGGACUGGGUGGCUAGAGAUCGGGAGAGGAGAGUGGAAUUCCCAGUGUAGAGGUGAAAUUCGUAGAUAUUGGGAAGAACACCGGUGGCGAAGGCGGCUCUCUGGACCGAUACUGACGCUGAGGCGCGAAAGCGUGGGGAGCAAACAGG